GCCAGGUGUGGUGGUGCAUGCCUGUAAUCCCAGCUACUCGAGAGGCUGAGGCAGGGGAUUGUAAAUUUGAGUCCAGCCUGGAUAAUUUUGCAAGACCCAGUCUCAA
rnacentral:sRNA from 1 species